UGCAAGCGCUAUCCGGAUUCACUGGGUUUAAAGGGUGCGUAGGCGGGCAGGUACGUCAGUGGUGAAAUCUCUGGGCUUAACCCGGAAACUGCCAUUGAUACUAUUUGUCUUGAAUAUCGUGGAGGUCAGCGGAAUAUGUCAUGUAGCGGUGAAAUGCUUAGAUAUGACAUAGAACACCAAUUGCGAAGGCAGCUGGCUACACGAAUAUUGACACUGAUGCACGAAAGCGUGGGGAUCAAACAGG
rnacentral:rRNA from 1 species